CAUUAGAUGGCUGAAAGUAAGUAAUGGUCUCUUAAACCAAUUUAUAGUAAUUUAACAUUUACUUCUAAUGA
rnacentral:tRNA from 5 species